GCAAGUGUGGUGUAGUGGUCUGAAUGUUGGACUACAACUCUGGAGACCAGGGUUUGAAUCCCUACUGAGCCA